rnacentral:rRNA from 1 species
UACGUAGGGGGCAAGCGUUGUCCGGAAUCAUUGGGCGUAAAGCGCGUGUAGGCGGUUCAGUAAGUCUGCUGUGAAAGUCAAAGGCUCAACCUUUGAACGCCGAUGGAUACUGCCGGGCUAGAGUCCGGAAGAGGCGAGUGGAAUUCCUGGUGUAGCGGUGGAAUGCGCAGAUAUCAGGAGGAACACCAAUAGCGAAGGCAGCUCGCUGGGACGGUACUGACGCUGAGGCGCGAAAGCGUGGGGAGCGAACAGG